AAAUUGCAAAUAAGCUGGUUCACUUCAGUUCAGAUUGCCACCCAUCAUCCCUUGCAUUUCCCCAUAGCAGCAGAUCAUGGUUACUUGCUAUUCAUUUAUCAAUCCUCCUGUACAGGUACAUUUCAUAUAUUGAUGAGAAGCUCUGAUGCAGUUGAAGAACACUUUGGGGUUUUGGGCUGUUUAUUGUUGCUCCUGAAAGGACUUGAAAUUACAAAUGAAAUAUCUUCGUGCAGAUGGGCGUUAUGUCGAUAUAAUUAAGAUCAAGACUCAUGCCUCUCUAUCAAGGCUCAUGGAUGAGUAUAUUGAGAGAAGGGGAAUGUAAGGUCAUAGCUUGCGGUUUUUCUACAAUGGAAAGUGUAUUACCAAAAGACAUGCAGCCAAGCUUGGACUAGAGAAUGGGGAACAAAUUGAUGCCAUGUUGCAGAUGCAUGGAGGGGGUCGCAAGAUCUUCUAAAUUCCUACUGGCUUAGUGAAGUCAAGUUCAGUUUCUGUCAAAUUUGUACCCAAUCAUCUCCAGUACUUUGUUUUAAGACAUGGAGAGCUGGAUAGGUUCUUAAACUUGCAUUAUGGCAUAACAUGAUUUGAUGUUUGAACUUUCUGUGGAUCAUCAAUGGAAAUGAAUCAGUAGUUUUCUCAGAUUGGAUGUUGCCUGCACGUAAUUGUGCAGUAGCGAAAACAUUGAAGAACACUGUGUUCAGUGUUCAUAAGCGAGCAGUAAUCUUGUGAAGGGAAUAGGAAUACGAAGAGUUGUUGAUUUUGCUUGUCAAAGAACCUUCAUAUUGCAAAUAGGAUGAUGAAACUAAGACAUACAGGGUCACUCUGUUCACGUCGAAUCAGACUCAUUAAGUGUCAUCUCAGGGUGAGCUUAACUGUUUGGACAGAGAUUUCCUCGGACCAUCUUUUGUUCUUCAUCAGCUAUUGUGCCUUGCAGGUUUUGCUAAUCCAUUCACAGGAACCCUUGCCGGCAACGGGCUUGAGUUGACUGAGUCGACUGACCAUUUUCAAUCAUUAAGAAAGCUGUUCAAGGAAGUCCAAGCCGAACUUCAGUUAAAUUUACUAGUGAAUCGCCUGAAGAAAGAUAUGAAUAACCAGACAAUCAAUGAAUGCAUUGAACUGCAAAAAUCUUACACCUCAGAGAACAUCUGAGAGGAAGUUUCAUGACCCUCGUGUGUGUGUAACCAGAAUCCAUGGUAUGCCCACCAUUCUAAACCAGCACCUUUGUAUGCUCAUCAUUCACAUACACAUCAUAAAUGUGUGCCGAAGGAACAAGAUUUCUCAAGUGACUUUAUUUAUUCGUACACAUAUAGAUUCAAAUAUUUGAUAAUUCUAGGAACAAAGACUACAUGGUUCAUGAAAGAUAAAGGUUAAA